GGUUAAGCGACUAAGCGUACACGGUGGAUGCCCUGGCAGUCAGAGGCGAUGAAGGACGUGCUAAUCUGCGAUAAGCGUCGGUAAGGUGAUAUGAACCGUUAUAACCGGCGAUUUCCGAAUGGGGAAACCCAGUGUGAUUCGUCACACUAUCAUUAACUGAAUCCAUAGGUUAAUGAGGCGAACCGGGGGAACUGAAACAUCUAAGUACCCCGAGGAAAAGAAAUCAACCGAGAUUCCCCCAGUAGCGGCGAGCGAACGGGGAGCAGCCCAGAGCCUGAAUCAGUGUGUGUGUUAGUGGAAGCGUCUGGAAAGGCGCGCGAUACAGGGUGACAGCCCCGUACACAAAAAUGCACAUACUGUGAGCUCGAUGAGUAGGGCGGGACACGUGGUAUCCUGUCUGAAUAUGGGGGGACCAUCCUCCAAGGCUAAAUACUCCUGACUGACCGAUAGUGAACCAGUACCGUGAGGGAAAGGCGAAAAGAACCCCGGCGAGGGGAGUGAAAAAGAACCUGAAACCGUGUACGUACAAGCAGUGGGAGCACAGAGCAAUCUGUGUGACUGCGUACCUUUUGUAUAAUGGGUCAGCGACUUAUAUUCUGUAGCAAGGUUAACCGAAUAGGGGAGCCGAAGGGAAACCGAGUCUUAACUGGGCGUUAAGUUGCAGGGUAUAGACCCGAAACCCGGUGAUCUAGCCAUGGGCAGGUUGAAGGUUGGGUAACACUAACUGGAGGACCGAACCGACUAAUGUUGAAAAAUUAGCGGAUGACUUGUGGCUGGGGGUGAAAGGCCAAUCAAACCGGGAGAUAGCUGGUUCUCCCCGAAAGCUAUUUAGGUAGCGCCUCGUGAAUUCAUCUCCGGGGGUAGAGCACUGUUUCGGCAAGGGGGUCAUCCCGACUUACCAACCCGAUGCAAACUGCGAAUACCGGAGAAUGUUAUCACGGGAGACACACGGCGGGUGCUAACGUCCGUCGUGAAGAGGGAAACAACCCAGACCGCCAGCUAAGGUCCCAAAGUCAUGGUUAAGUGGGAAACGAUGUGGGAAGGCCCAGACAGCCAGGAUGUUGGCUUAGAAGCAGCCAUCAUUUAAAGAAAGCGUAAUAGCUCACUGGUCGAGUCGGCCUGCGCGGAAGAUGUAACGGGGCUAAACCAUGCACCGAAGCUGCGGCAGCGACGCUUAUGCGUUGUUGGGUAGGGGAGCGUCCUGUAAGCCUGUGAAGGUGUGCUGUGAGGCAUGCUGGAGGUAUCAGAAGUGCGAAUGCUGACAUAAGUAACGAUAAAGCGGGUGAAAAGCCCGCUCGCCGGAAGACCAAGGGUUCCUGUCCAACGUUAAUCGGGGCAGGGUGAGUCGACCCCUAAGGCGAGGCCGAAAGGCGUAGUCGAUGGGAAACAGGUUAAUAUUCCUGUACUUGGUGUUACUGCGAAGGGGGGACGGAGAAGGCUAUGUUGGCCGGGCGACGGUUGUCCCGGUUUAAGCGUGUAGGCUGGUUUUCCAGGCAAAUCCGGAAAAUCAAGGCUGAGGCGUGAUGACGAGGCACUACGGUGCUGAAGCAACAAAUGCCCUGCUUCCAGGAAAAGCCUCUAAGCAUCAGGUAACAUCAAAUCGUACCCCAAACCGACACAGGUGGUCAGGUAGAGAAUACCAAGGCGCUUGAGAGAACUCGGGUGAAGGAACUAGGCAAAAUGGUGCCGUAACUUCGGGAGAAGGCACGCUGAUAUGUAGGUGAAGUCCCUCGCGGAUGGAGCUGAAAUCAGUCGAAGAUACCAGCUGGCUGCAACUGUUUAUUAAAAACACAGCACUGUGCAAACACGAAAGUGGACGUAUACGGUGUGACGCCUGCCCGGUGCCGGAAGGUUAAUUGAUGGGGUCAGCGCAAGCGAAGCUCUUGAUCGAAGCCCCGGUAAACGGCGGCCGUAACUAUAACGGUCCUAAGGUAGCGAAAUUCCUUGUCGGGUAAGUUCCGACCUGCACGAAUGGCGUAAUGAUGGCCAGGCUGUCUCCACCCGAGACUCAGUGAAAUUGAACUCGCUGUGAAGAUGCAGUGUACCCGCGGCAAGACGGAAAGACCCCGUGAACCUUUACUAUAGCUUGACACUGAACAUUGAGCCUUGAUGUGUAGGAUAGGUGGGAGGCUUUGAAGUGUGGACGCCAGUCUGCAUGGAGCCGACCUUGAAAUACCACCCUUUAAUGUUUGAUGUUCUAACGUUGACCCGUGAUCCGGGUUGCGGACAGUGUCUGGUGGGUAGUUUGACUGGGGCGGUCUCCUCCUAAAGAGUAACGGAGGAGCACGAAGGUUGGCUAAUCCUGGUCGGACAUCAGGAGGUUAGUGCAAUGGCAUAAGCCAGCUUGACUGCGAGCGUGACGGCGCGAGCAGGUGCGAAAGCAGGUCAUAGUGAUCCGGUGGUUCUGAAUGGAAGGGCCAUCGCUCAACGGAUAAAAGGUACUCCGGGGAUAACAGGCUGAUACCGCCCAAGAGUUCAUAUCGACGGCGGUGUUUGGCACCUCGAUGUCGGCUCAUCACAUCCUGGGGCUGAAGUAGGUCCCAAGGGUAUGGCUGUUCGCCAUUUAAAGUGGUACGCGAGCUGGGUUUAGAACGUCGUGAGACAGUUCGGUCCCUAUCUGCCGUGGGCGCUGGAGAACUGAGGGGGGCUGCUCCUAGUACGAGAGGACCGGAGUGGACGCAUCACUGGUGUUCGGGUUGUCAUGCCAAUGGCACUGCCCGGUAGCUAAAUGCGGAAGAGAUAAGUGCUGAAAGCAUCUAAGCACGAAACUUGCCCCGAGAUGAGUUCUCCCUGACUCCUUGAGAGUCCUGAAGGAACGUUGAAGACGACGACGUUGAUAGGCCGGGUGUGUAAGCGCAGCGAUGCGUUGAGCUAACCGGUACUAAUGAACCGUGAGGCUUAACCUU
rnacentral:rRNA from 1 species